AUACGGAGGGUGCAAGCGUUAAUCGGAAUUACUGGGCGUAAAGAGUACGUAGGUGGUUUGUUAAGUCAGAUGUGAAAGCCCCGGGCUCAACCUGGGAACUGCAUUUGAAACUGGCAAACUAGAGUAUGGUAGAGGGGGGUAGAAUUUCUAGUGUAGCGGUGAAAUGCGUAGAUAUUAGAAGGAAUACCAGUGGCGAAGGCGGCCCCCUGGACCAAUACUGACACUGAGGUACGAAAGCGUGGGUAGCGAACAGAAUUAGAAACCCUAGUAGUCC
rnacentral:rRNA from 1 species